UUUUUUUCCCCUUUAAGAGGCGGUGCCGCGGCCGGAGCCAUUUUCCCUUCAGCGGCGGCAGCGGCGAGAGAGGAGCCGGGGUCCGGAGCCGGUACUGGCCAGACUGGCAAGAAGACGACAGACAACCUGUGUAAGCCCAGGCCUCCCCCAGCGUGGAGGACAUGGCUUCGGGCAUUGGAUCUCCAUCACCGUGCUCAGGGGGCAGUGAUGAUGAUGACAUGGAGAUCCUGUUGAACAACGCUAUCCCCCAGCAUCCAGAACCUGAAGAAGAGCCAGAAGAAGAGCUUCUGUCAGAGGCUGACACUCCCAAAAUCAAGAAGAAGAAGAAGCCCAAGAAACUGAAGGAACCCAAAGUUCCCAAGCUCAGCAAGCGUCAGAAGAAGGAGCUGGGGGACAGCUCUGGUGAGGGGAAUGAGUUUGUGGAGGAAGAAGAAGAGGUUCUGCGCUCUGACAGUGAGGGCAGUGAUUAUACCCCUGGGAAGAAGAAAAAGAAGAAAUUAGGACCCAAGAAGGAAAAGAAAAACAAAGCCAAGCGCAAGGAGGAGGAGGAAGAGGAGGAAGAAGAUGAUGACUCAAAGGAGCCGAAGUCAUCUGCUCAGCUGCUGGAAGAUUGGGGCAUGGAGGAUAUUGAUCACAUCUUCACAGAGGAGGAUUACCGCACACUCACCAACUACAAAGCUUUCAGCCAGUUUGUUAGGCCACUUAUUGCAGCCAAGAACCCUAAAAUAGCAGUGUCGAAGAUGAUGAUGGUACUGGGAGCCAAAUGGAGGGAGUUCAGCACCAACAACCCCUUCAAGGGAAGUUCAGGUGCAUCUGUGGCAGCUGCUGCAGCUGCAGCUGUUGCAGUAGUCGAGAGUAUGGUGACAAACGUGGAUGCUGUCCUGCCACAGCCCCCCGUAGAUGUGCCACUCAGGAAAGCCAAGACAAAGGAGGGCAAAGGACCCAAUGCCCGGCGGAAGCCAAAGGCCAGUCCUCGUAUUCCUGAUAUCAAGAAACCUAAAACAAAGAAGGUGGCACCACUGAAAAUCAAACUGGGAGGAUUUGGUUCCAAGCGUAAAAGAUCAUCAAGUGAAGAUGAUGAUCUGGAUGUGGAGUCAGACUUUGAUGAUGCCAGCAUCAACAGCUACUCUGUGUCAGAUGGAUCUACAAGCCGUAGUAGCCGCAGUCGCAAAAAACUCAAGGCUGGGAAGAAGAAAAAGAAAGGUGAGGAGGACUCCACAGUGGCUGUGGAUGGCUAUGAGACUGAUCACCAGGACUACUGUGAGGUGUGCCAGCAGGGAGGAGAAAUUAUAUUGUGCGAUACCUGCCCUCGUGCCUACCACAUGGUUUGCCUGGACCCAGACAUGGAGAAAGCUCCAGAGGGCAAAUGGAGCUGCCCACACUGUGAAAAAGAAGGCAUUCAGUGGGAAGCAAAGGAGGAUAACUCUGAAGGUGAGGAAAUCCUGGAGGAUGUAGUGGGGGAUGCUGAGGAAGAGGAUGACCACCAUAUGGAGUUCUGUAGAGUCUGCAAGGAUGGAGGAGAGCUGCUGUGCUGUGAUGCCUGUCCUUCGUCCUAUCACAUCCACUGUCUGAAUCCCCCACUGCCUGAGAUUCCCAAUGGAGAAUGGCUGUGUCCUCGCUGCACUUGCCCAGCUUUGAAAGGAAAGGUGCAGAAGAUCUUGAUCUGGAAAUGGGGUCAGCCCCCAGUUGGCCCUGCACCACCCCGCCCACCUGAUGCAGACCCUAAUGCUCCACCGCCGAAACCUCUGGAGGGUCGGCCUGAAAGGCAGUUCUUUGUCAAAUGGCAGGGCAUGUCCUACUGGCACUGCUCCUGGGUGUCGGAGUUGCAGCUGGAGUUGCACUGCCAGGUGAUGUUUCGUAACUACCAACGCAAAAAUGACAUGGAUGAGCCGCCCUCGGGAGACUUUGGAGGGGAAGAAGAGAAAAGCCGAAAGAGGAAAAACAAGGACCCCAAAUACGCUGAGAUGGAAGAGCGUUUCUAUCGAUACGGGAUCAAGCCAGAGUGGAUGAUGAUCCACAGGAUCCUUAAUCAUAGUGUGGAUAAGAAGGGGAAUGUCCACUAUUUGAUUAAAUGGAGAGACCUACCCUAUGACCAGGCAUCUUGGGAAAGUGAAGAUGUGGAUAUUCAAGAUUAUGACCUCUACAAGCAAGCCUACUGGAAUCACAGGGAGCUGAUGCGAGGUGAAGAGGGCAGGCCUGGUAAGAAGUUAAAGAAAGUGAAGAUGCGGAAACUGGAGAGACCCCCUGAGACUCCCACAGUAGAUCCAACAGUGAAAUAUGACCGGCAACCGGAGUACCUCGAUGUGACAGGGGGGACCUUGCAUCCCUACCAACUGGAAGGGCUGAAUUGGCUGCGCUUCUCCUGGGCCCAGGGCACAGAUACAAUCUUGGCUGAUGAAAUGGGUCUGGGAAAGACUGUGCAGACAGCAGUGUUCCUGUAUUCCUUAUACAAAGAGGGGCACUCAAAGGGUCCCUUCUUGGUGAGUGCACCACUGUCCACAAUCAUCAACUGGGAACGAGAAUUUGAGAUGUGGGCCCCAGAUAUGUAUGUAGUGACCUACGUCGGGGACAAAGACAGCCGGGCCAUCAUCCGUGAGAAUGAGUUCACUUUUGAGGAUAAUGCCAUACGUGGAGGCAAAAAAGCGUCCAGAAUGAAGAAGGAGGCUGCUGUCAAGUUCCAUGUGCUCCUCACCUCCUAUGAACUGAUCACAAUUGAUAUGGCCAUACUAGGCUCUAUUGACUGGGCCUGUCUCAUUGUGGAUGAAGCUCACAGACUGAAGAACAACCAGUCUAAGUUCUUCCGUGUGCUGAAUGGUUACUCCCUCCAGCACAAGCUGCUGCUUACGGGAACUCCCCUGCAGAACAACCUGGAAGAACUGUUCCACCUGCUGAACUUCCUGACGCCCGAGAGAUUCCAUAACUUGGAGGGCUUCCUAGAAGAGUUUGCAGAUAUUGCCAAGGAGGAUCAGAUCAAGAAGCUGCACGACAUGCUGGGCCCGCAUAUGCUGAGGCGUCUCAAGGCUGAUGUUUUCAAGAAUAUGCCAUCUAAGACUGAGCUCAUUGUCAGAGUGGAGCUGAGUCCCAUGCAGAAGAAAUAUUAUAAAUACAUUUUGACAAGAAACUUUGAGGCACUGAAUGCACGAGGUGGUGGUAACCAAGUCUCAUUGCUCAAUGUUGUUAUGGAUCUGAAGAAGUGCUGUAACCACCCCUACCUCUUCCCUGUGGCUGCUAUGGAAGCUCCAAAAAUGCCAAAUGGCAUGUAUGAUGGUAGUGCACUUAUUCGAGCCUCUGGAAAGCUGUUGCUGCUCCAGAAGAUGUUAAAGAACCUGAAGGAAGGAGGUCACAGAGUGCUCAUAUUCUCUCAGAUGACUAAAAUGUUGGACCUUCUAGAAGAUUUUUUGGAACACGAAGGAUACAAAUAUGAGCGGAUUGAUGGAGGAAUCACAGGGAACAUGCGUCAGGAGGCUAUUGAUCGCUUCAAUGCUCCUGGAGCUCAGCAGUUCUGCUUUCUGCUUUCAACUCGAGCUGGGGGUCUUGGUAUUAACUUGGCCACAGCAGAUACUGUGAUUAUCUAUGAUUCAGACUGGAACCCCCACAAUGAUAUCCAGGCCUUCAGCCGUGCACACAGAAUUGGGCAGAACAAGAAGGUGAUGAUAUACCGCUUUGUGACAAGGGCCUCAGUGGAGGAGCGUAUCACUCAGGUGGCCAAGAAGAAGAUGAUGCUGACUCACCUCGUAGUGAGACCAGGGUUGGGCUCCAAGACAGGCUCCAUGUCCAAACAGGAACUUGAUGAUAUUCUGAAAUUUGGCACUGAAGAGCUCUUCAAGGAUGAAGCUACUGAGGGGGGGGAUAACAAGGAAGGUGAGGACAGUAGUGUCAUCCACUACGAUGACAAAGCAAUUGAGCGUCUCUUGGAUCGGAACCAGGAUGAAACAGAAGAUACAGAACUUCAGGGCAUGAAUGAAUAUCUCAGCUCCUUCAAGGUGGCCCAGUAUGUGGUUCGUGAGGAGGAGAUGGGGGAGGAAGAGGAGGUUGAACGGGAAAUUAUUAAGCAGGAGGAAUCAGUAGAUCCUGAUUACUGGGAGAAACUGCUCCGUCACCAUUAUGAGCAACAACAGGAGGAUCUGGCCAGGAACCUGGGCAAGGGCAAACGUAUUCGCAAGCAAGUUAACUACAACGAUGGCUCACAGGAGGAUAGAGGCUCACGUGCUGUUUUUCUUUCAGACUGGCAGGAUGACCAGUCAGAUAAUCAGUCAGACUAUUCAGUUGCUUCUGAAGAAGGGGACGAGGACUUUGAUGAGAGAUCUGAAGCAGCUCGCCGGCCUAGCCGCAAGGGCCUGAGAAAUGAUAAGGAUAAGCCUCUGCCUCCCUUACUGGCCCGUGUGGGAGGGAACAUCGAGGUGUUGGGUUUCAACGCUCGCCAGCGGAAGGCCUUCCUCAAUGCUAUCAUGCGCUAUGGAAUGCCACCUCAGGAUGCCUUCACCACUCAGUGGCUUGUUCGGGACCUCCGUGGCAAGUCAGAGAAAGAGUUCAAGGCCUAUGUCUCGCUGUUCAUGCGUCAUUUAUGUGAACCUGGAGCUGAUGGUGCAGAGACCUUUGCAGAUGGGGUCCCACGGGAAGGUCUUUCUCGACAGCAUGUCCUCACUCGCAUUGGGGUCAUGUCACUUAUACGCAAAAAGGUGCAGGAAUUCCAUGUGAACGGCCGCUGGAGUAUGCCAGAACUGGCAGAGAUAGAGGAGAACAAGAAACUUUCACAGCCCAGCUCACCCUCUCCCAAAACUCCAACUCCUUCAACACCAGGGGAUACGCAGCCAAACACACCAGCCCCUGUUCCUCCACCUGAAGAUGGAGUAAAAGUAGAAGAAGGAGCUAGUGCUAAGGAGCAAGGAGAGCCUUCUGAACCCGAGAAGGAGCUCAGUGCCUCUGCUGCUGAAACAGAGGCCCCUAUGGAGUGUGCUCAGCCUGUGGAGACACCGCCCCAGGAAGCAAAAUCCCCAGUGAACUCCACAGAAGCAGAUGAAAAAAAAGUAGAGGAAACAGAAGUGAAGGAAAGAUCAGAUGAACCAAUGGAAGUAGAAAGCAAAGCUGAUGUGGAGAAAGUGGAAGACAGAGCAGCUACUGAAAAUCCUCCUGACCCUCCUAUAAUCACUUUGGAUGAGAAAGAUGAGAAGAAGGAUGAUGAUAAGAGAGAUGUGGUGAUGCUGCAGAACGGAGAGAUGCUGAAAGAGUCAGUAGAUGAAAGGCACAAGAAGGCAGUAAAGCAGCGCUUCAUGUUCAACAUAGCAGAUGGUGGUUUCACUGAGCUACACUCCCUCUGGCAGAAUGAAGAGCGGGCUGCCACUGUCACCAAGAAGACCUACGAGAUCUGGCAUCGGCGUCACGACUACUGGCUCCUAGCUGGGAUUAUCAAUCAUGGCUAUGCCCGUUGGCAGGAUAUUCAGAAUGAUCCACGUUACGCCAUCCUCAAUGAACCCUUCAAGGGUGAGAUGAACAGGGGUAACUUCCUGGAAAUAAAGAAUAAGUUUUUGGCAAGGAGAUUUAAGCUCCUGGAGCAAGCGCUGGUGAUUGAGGAGCAGUUGCGGCGAGCUGCCUACCUGAACAUGUCCGAAGACCCAUCCCACCCAUCCAUGGCUCUGAACACACGUUUUGCAGAGGUGGAAUGCCUGGCUGAGAGCCACCAGCACCUAUCCAAGGAAUCGAUGGCUGGGAAUAAACCAGCCAAUGCUGUGCUGCACAAAGCUGGAGGAGCUUUUGAGUGACAUGAAGGCAGAUGUGACCCGUCUGCCUGCCACCAUUGCCCGCAUCCCCCCCGUGGCAGUGCGCCUGCAGAUGUCGGAGCGCAACAUCCUCAGCCGCCUGGCCAACCGCAGCAGCGAGCCCCCGCCGCCGCCCCCUCCCCAACAAGUGGCCCAGCAGCAGUGAAUUCCUGGCCCAGUGCUGUUGACCUUUCGGCCAAGCUGAAGUGACUCCCCUAGCCCACCCCUUCACACUCUACCCCUCUGCCUGACAUUCCUGACUGGGUGCUGUUUCCCUCCAUGGAAGCUGCUGCUCAGGUCUCUGGAAGGAGAAGAAACUCCUUCCUCUGCAGCCAGCCCGUUGGAGCAAGGAGUGUGUUUAGGAGAGAGGGGGAUGGAUGUAUGAUGGACUCUGUACAUAGUGACUGGAGGCCCCAGCGCCAUGUCUGUUACAUGGAGAACCUGGCUGCAUUGCUCGUUGCCUCCGCCUGGAAUUCCAGUUUUCGUUCUUAAGUUUAUUUUGAGUUUGUUUACUGAGACAAGUGCGCAGGCAAGACCAAGCAAAAGCCAGGACAGAGACAAAGCUACCUCCAUCAAAAUCCUUUUUAAUACAAAAACUGACCGGACUUGUCAACUAAUAAGCAGCUUGAAGACAAAAGCAAACAACAAUGAAAAACCAACAAAAAACAGAGCAAAACGUUGAUAAAACUGAAAAAUAAAGUUUCCUUGUAUUUUA